UAGGGAAUCUUCCACAAUGGACGCAAGUCUGAUGGAGCAACGCCGCGUGAGUGAAGAAGGUCUUCGGAUCGUAAAACUCUGUUGUUAGAGAAGAACACGAGUGAGAGUAACUGUUCAUUCGAUGACGGUAUCUAACCAGCAAGUCACGGCUAACUACGUGCC
rnacentral:rRNA from 1 species